CAUUAGAUGACUGAAAGCAAGUAUUGGUCUCUUAAACCAAAUUUAUAGUAAAUUAACGAUUACUUCUAAUGA
rnacentral:tRNA from 1 species